CCCGUCUGUGGAUAUGUUGGUGGUUCUUGUGCGUAUUCAGAGGCAUCUUUCACAGUUGUAGAAGUGUUCUUAUUUGAUGUGCAGUACUCCAGCAGUCAGAUGUCCUCAGUAUAUAGGAGGGAAAAUAAAAACAAAAUAUAGUGCUCUUUGAAUAUUUUUUUUUAAAAGGAAAAAAAAAUCAGAUAAAAAAGAGGUAUACUGCCAAACAGAGAGCAAAUAUAGGUAUUGCUUAAUCCAAAUAGGCCAAAGAUAGGUCAGGAAACUCCAAAUUGCAUAAAAUGACUAUCUUUAUUUGGAGUCAAAUAGUAAAAACACUAAUGUGUUUCACCUACAGUAAGGCUUUCUCAAAGUGUUCAAGUAAACACUUUGAGAAAGCCUUACUGAAGGUGAACCACGUUAACGCUGGAUGCAGCUAAGGUGCUGGUCCAUGCCGGUAUCCUCUCUCGCUUAGACUACUGCAGUCCACUUCUCAGUGGUCUUACGUGCUCCCAACUUGUCCCAUUACAGUCUAUAAUGAGUGUGGUGGCGAGACUCAACUUCCUGUCUGAUGAAGAAAGAGGGUCACAGCGCCUUGUGAGUGUCUUCUGAUCCAGAUGGCGCUCAGUGCAUGUAAAAGAGCAGGAGACAAUAUAGUGUAGUAGGUACUUAUACCUGGUGAAGAAAAUAAAGAAAUGCCCUUACAGUUCUAUGGAGCUUCUAAACAGCUCCAAAUAGUAGCGCUUGGGCGGUAUGAUCCCUGCCUGUAGAUAUACUGGUGCAGCAACAAUUUUCCAGGAAGUAUGUCAGGAUCACUUUUCAACACUUUUUAAAAACCCUGUGAUUUGACAAAACAAGUCAAGUGUAUUUUUAUAUGUUAUGUAACAAAAAGUGUAUAUUUUUGUAUCUACUUUGGACCCUCCUAAUUGCUUUUAGAAGAUGUUAUCCAAGAGGACUCCAGAAGUAUCAUUGGUGGGAAUUUUACCACCUACGCUAUUUGGAUUGAGCAAAACCACUUUUUCUCUUCUUUUUUCAGUAACCCUCUUUUUUUAUUUUAUUUGAAUACUGUUUUUUUUUAUUAUUAUUAGUGAGCAUUUCUAUAUUUUUUUUCACCAAGUAUAGGUACCUACUACACAAUAUUGUCUCCUGCUCUUUUACAUGCACUGAGCACCAUCUUAAUCAGAAGACACUCACAAUGCGCUCCAACCCUCUUUCUUCAUCUUGCAUCUUACCUACUACCAGGAUGAAAAAAACUCUGGCUUGGGUUGUCCUAGCUGCCUACUAACAUUAUCGGAAGCGCUAGAAGUGCUUUUUUAAAAAAUGUAUUUCAUCUUCCUGCCUGCCCGCACCUCUUACGUCUACCCCCUCUGUUAAUCCCUGCAUUGGUCUGCACUGCUCAAUUUAAAAUUCUGAAUCUUGUUUACAAAUCUCUACAUAAUGCUACUCCAAACUAUCUAUCCUUCCUAAUACACAAAUAUGUCCUGUCAAGGCCCCUACGAUCUGCUGAAGACCUACAUCUAUCCUCUGUUUUCUCUAGGGCUGCACCGUUCCUGUGGAACUCCCUUCCCUUCUCUGAUGUUCACCCAGUCACCACUGAAAAUUCACUUCUUAAGGAAGGCAUAUCAAGUAAACUGUUAAUAGUUUAGCCCCCGCACCCUGAUUCAUCUCCUGUAACUGUCAUAUAGUGAAUAUUAUUCUAGCAACCUAGUUUUCUACCCUACCAUUACCUUUUGUGUCACUUUAUCGCACUCCCUCUAGCAUGUAAGCUCAUUGAGCAGGACCCUCAACCCCUCUGUUCCUGUGCAUCCAACUUGUCUGGUUACAAUUACGUUUUCUUUUAAUCCACCUAUUGUACAGCACUGUGGAAUUUAUAUAAUAAUAAUAUAAUUUGUAGAAUGUAGACAAGGUGCAAUAUUAACCAAAAAUCUAAUUGUAGUUUGUUUGUAGUAAUGAUGUUUGAUUGCUUGAAUGCAUGCACUCGCACACACACACUUCCAUACAGACACAGGUACACACACAAAGUGACAAACAGGUACACGUACACACACACAUAAUAGUAACAAUUAACAUAUACACACACACACUAUUACACACUCACAGGUUCUGUGGCUGGCUGCUUCUGGAGCUGUAUGCUGGGCAAUUUGAGAAAACAAAUGUCAGUCUCUACUCCCUUGCAAUCUGAUUCCCCCACCAGUCCCUCUAUUUAGCCUCUAGACAUAGCAGCCCACCACCCCUCAUUAAUACCUGCAGGUCCAUUGUGUUAGCCGCCGGUGUCCUCUCUUACUACUCUGCACUGCUGUCUGAGAGCUGCUUAGGGGAACAGCCAGCUUUGCUACGAGACUAAUUCUGGCCACUGCCGGCCAUAUGUUUGACAGCCCUGUACUAGUCAUUUAACAAAUGCAUGGCUCAGCUGAGCUCCCAUAAGUAAACAGGACAAUCCAUGCCAUCAUAAAAUGUUUAAGGAACCUUUGGACCCUAACAGGUUACUAUAAUUGAUUCCUAAAAUAUCUGUGUAAGAGAAGCUUUGUACACAACCUCAAAUACUUUUUUUUUUAGUUGCCCAGAAAUGAUUCGUAAUACCACUGUAGAGAUACAGAGAACUCAUUCACACGGAAUUAUUACAUUCUAACCCAGUAUUCAGAGUGCAUAAAACAUUUAUUGAAAUGUUUCUCAUGAUAUGAUACCUACAUAAAUGAGAUCCACGAUUUAUUACUGGUUUUAAUUGCUCCCUUUAACGUUUC
rnacentral:lncRNA from 1 species